rnacentral:snoRNA from 1 species
GCCCUUCUGGUGCUUACCACAGGCGGUGUUCUUACACUGAGUUUAUAGAAAGAGAAGGUUGCCUGGUCUGUAUUGUGAAUGGGGAAACAUAG